rnacentral:lncRNA from 1 species
CAUAUGGCCUAUAAAAUAAUCUAAAGAAUCGUAGGAAUCACUUGUGUCUUCAGUAGUAAACCCCAUAGCAACGAUAGCUAUGCUUAUGGUAUACGCGUUAUUUGCAGCCGCUUUACUUUCACUGGGAUUGGAAGCCGCGAAUUCUGCAGAUUUUUAUGCAACAUCAAAUACUUCCCGUUUUCUCGAAAUCAAAAAGUUCGUCGAAACACCGGAGCCCAUUUGGACUUACAAAUCGACAAGUGAAUUUUUCUUCCGUUGUAAGGUAGACGUUAUGUCAGUAUGCAAGGAGAAGUUCAUCCUAUUUAACAGGACAUACUAUAUCAACCAGCAAAAUCUAACACAGGUCCUGGAAGGAUGGUUCCGACAGGAUCGCAAAGACCAGAUGUUUCUUGCAGUGCUAGGUGAGUACUUCGCCACAUCUUCCUUUUCGCGCCAAUACAAGUUCAUAUUUGUGAUGUUUCCCAUUUCUCCUCCUAAUAGUCGCGUACGUAAUUUAGAUAUUUAUUGUUUUGCAGAUCUUACAGAACAGUCCGAUGUUAGGGUCACGCAUUUUAGUUCCAGAUGUUGUUAAAGUUUGUUUUGGGAUAGGCGGGUCAAUGAAAUAUUUUAUAUCGCUGCAA